UGAGGAGCAAUAGUGCGGAGGUGUCUGCCGUGUCAGACAUUCUCCGCACUGAGGAGUGCCAGAAACAUUGGCAUAUUAUAAAAUCUGAGGCAAGACGGAACACCCGCAAGCAGAGAGAAGCCAUGACUGCCACAGAUGGUGGACCUCCUGCCAACCCUCCUCUCUCCCAGCACAAUGAGUUAAUCUUUGAGAUUUUGGACCCUAAGAAUGUCUCUAUUCAUGGGUGUACCAAUAAGGCAAGCAUCAUUGAAUGCACCUUCCUUAACAAAGGAUAAGCCACUUGUAGAUAUAGCAAUAUUAGGCCAUAAUGUUGUCUCAAAUGUCUGCAAUCCAAAAUACUCGUUCCCAUUUAGUUUACAACUUAGAGUUAAACACAAUGGUAAAUUUGUUAUCUAGUGUUGAGAAAAUUUUUUUUUUCUUUAACCAAACAGCUAAAACAGUAAUAA